rnacentral:lncRNA from 1 species
UCUUCUGGGAGGAGGGUGUCGCUGCAUUGUCUCCUGGAUCAAUUUGACAAAGAUUUACCAGUUUACUUAAAGAAGGAUCCUGCUUAUUUUUAUGGAUAUGUGUAUUUCCGACAAGUUCGAGAUAAAACUCUAAAAAGAGGCUACUUUCAGAAGUCCUUGGUUUUGAUCAGCAAACUACCUUAUAUUCAUUUUUUUCACACUGUGCUCAAACAGAUAGCACCAGAGUAUUUUGAAAAGAAUGAACCUUAUUUGGAAGCAGCUUGUAAUGAUGUUGAUCGAUGGCCUGCCCCAGUGCCAGGGAAAACAUUACACCUGCCAAUCAUGGGGGUGGUAAUGAAGGUACGGAUUCCCACAUGUCAUGACAAGCCUGGGACAACUCAAAUAGUGCAGUUAACUCAGCAGGUGGACACAAAUAUAUCUGUUAUUUUACCUACUGUUCAUGAGGUGGAUAUUUUCAGGUAAAGAAUAAAAAAUUUUAUUAACUGAC